rnacentral:rRNA from 1 species
UACGGAGGGGGCUAGCGUUGUUCGGAAUUACUGGGCGUAAAGCGCACGUAGGCGGCUUUGUAAGUUAGAGGUGAAAGCCCGGGGCUCAACCCCGGAAUUGCCUUUAAGACUGCAUCGCUUGAACGUCGGAGAGGUAAGUGGAAUUCCGAGUGUAGAGGUGAAAUUCGUAGAUAUUCGGAAGAACACCAGUGGCGAAGGCGACUCACUGGACAUGUAUUGACGCUGAGGUACGAAAGCGUGGGGAGCAAACAGG